rnacentral:rRNA from 1 species
GACGAACGCUGGCGGCGUGCCUAAUACAUGCAAGUUGAGCGAUGAAGCUUGGUGCUUGCACCAAUUUGAAGAGCAGCGAACGGGUGAGUAACGCGUGGGGAAUCUGCCUUUGAGCGGGGGACAACAUUUGGAAACGAAUGCUAAUACCGCAUAACAACUUUAAACAUAAGUUUUAAGUUUGAAAGAUGCAAUUGCAUCACUCAAAGAUGAUCCCGCGUUGUAUUAGCUAGUUGGUGGGGUAAAGGCUCACCAAGGCGAUGAUACAUAGCCGACCUGAGAGGGUGAUCGGCCACAUUGGGACUGAGACACGGCCCAAACUCCUACGGGAGGCAGCAGUAGGGAAUCUUCGGCAACGGACGAAAGUCUGACCGAGCAACGCCGCGUGAGUGAAGAAGGUUUUCGGAUCGUAAAACUCUGUUGGUAGAGAAGAACGUUGGUGAGAGUGGAAAGCUCAUCAAGUGACGGUAACUACCCAGAAAGGGACGGCUAACUACGUG